rnacentral:rRNA from 1 species
CUUGGAGGUUCAGUGUUGUGGUUCUCCGGUGCAUGGCGCUGGUCCGAGAGAGAGAGAGAGCAUCAUGACUGCCAUGGCUUGAACUAUUUUGCUGAGAUCCUGGAAAAAUUGAAUGGUAUAAUUCUGUUAAUUGGGAACCUUGGAAUUGAUUUUUCACCUGAAAAGGUUGAUCGAGGGUCGGAUAAUGGACGUAACACAGCUGCUAGAGAAGAGAUUAUAAUAUGGAAAAUAUUAGAUGAGGAGGAAGCUAAAGUUGGUAGAUCAAUUGAGCAAGAGUUCCAGACCCAGGUUACACCAAGAACAAGUGCCUCAGAUCAUUCAUUUUUCAGGCAGCGGAAGGAUCACUCCCCCUCCCCUCGCGUCGCCCACCUGAGGGCGACUCGAGGGUGCCCUCGCCCCGUCCGCCGUGACCACCCCUCUUCGGAUCUCACCGCCUCGACCAAAAUGUAA